AUGAAGGGGUGGGGCACCAACUUGGGACGCGACCUCCGCGAGCGCAAGAAGGCCUUGUUGUCUGCUAUUCAGGCCCUAGACCUGCGCGCCGACGCCACCGGCCUCUCUCCUGAGGAGUGGCUUUCCUGGUACGACCUGGAAGACCAACUCUCUAUCAUCUACUCCGACGAGGAGGCCUACUGGCGUGUGCGCGGUGCUCAGAAAUGGAUUUUGAAGGGCGAUGCGAACACUGCGUAUUUCCAGGCCAUCGUGAAUGGCCGUCGGAGACGCAACACCAUCCCCCUCCUCUGGGAUGGCCCGACUCUCCUGCAGUCCCCGCGGGACAUUAGGUCCCACGUUGACGGCUUCUAUAGAUCUCUGUUCGCAGCCGCUCCUCGGAGCGGCUUAUCUCUGGCCACAGACUGUUGG
rnacentral:rRNA from 1 species